UACGGAGGAUCCGAGCGUUAUCCGGAUUUAUUGGGUUUAAAGGGAGCGUAGGCGGAUGUUUAAGUCAGUUGUGAAAGUUUAAGGCUCAACCGUAAAAUUGCAGUUGAUACUGUCAGUCUUGAGUACAGUAGAGGUGGGCGGAAUUCGUGGUGUAGGGGUAAAAUCCGUAGAUAUCACCAGGAAUACCGAUUGCGAAGGCGAUCUACUGGACAAAGACUGACGCUCAGGUGCGAAAGCGUGGGGAGCAAAC
rnacentral:rRNA from 1 species